rnacentral:rRNA from 1 species
UACGAGGGGGGCGAGCGUUGUUCGGAAUUAUUGGGCGUAAAGGGCGCGUAGGCGGUCGGAUAAGUCUUGUGUGAAAUCUUCGGGCUCAACUCGAAGUCUGCACAGGAAACUAUCUGGCUUGAGUGUGGGAGAGGUGAGUGGAAUUCCUGGUGUAGCGGUGAAAUUCGUAGAUAUUGGGAAGAACACCGGUGGCGAAGGCGGCGACCUGGUCCUUGACUGACGCUGAGGCGCGAAAGCGUGGGGAGCAAACAGG